GAUGAACGCUGGCGGCGUGCCUAAUACAUGCAAGUCGAGCGAACAGACGAGGAGCUUGCUCCUCUGACGUUAGCGGCGGACGGGUGAGUAACACGUGGAUAACCUACCUAUAAGACUGGGAUCACUUCGGGAAACCGGAGCUAAUACCGGAUAAUAUAUUGAACCGCAUGGUUCAAUAGUGAAAGACGGUUUUGCUGUCACUUAUAGAUGUAUCCGCGCCGCAUUAGCUAGUUGGUAAGGUAACGGCUUACCAAGGCAACGAUGCGUAGCCGACCUGAGAGGGUGAUCGGCCACACUGGAACUGAGACACGGUCCAGACUCCUACGGGAGGCAGCAGUAGGGAAUCUUCCGCAAUGGGCGAAAGCCUGACGGAGCAACGCCGCGUGAGUGAUGAAGGUCUUCGGAUCGUAAAACUCUGUUAUUAGGGAAGAACAAAUGUGUAAGUAACUAUGCACGUCUUGACGGUACCUAAUCAGAAAGCCACGGCUAACUACGUG
rnacentral:rRNA from 1 species